GUCAAUCUCUGUGACCCCUGUGUCCUCAUACAUCUGCGCGUGAAAUCUAAGAACGGCCAUGACAUUGUAGAUUACACCAGCAAGGAUGAUGACGACACAUGCCACUGUGAUUCCCAUCCCCAAAACGAUUGUUUUGCGUACUGCAAAACUUGCGAAACUCCAAUAUGCAUCCUUUGCGUUACUAUUAAACACAAAUCGCACGAAAUAUCCGAGCUGUCCGAUAAAAUUGAAGAACUUUUGAAAGUGAUUGCUACGGAAAAUGAUCGACUUCAGUCAUUCAAACAUGAAUUGGAGAGAAUUUUGGAACAUACGACGAAACUGUUGUCCUCGAUAUCCUCGAUUUAUAAACUGAGGAAAGACGAAGUUACAGCACGGGGAGAAGAGUGGCACAAACAGAUCGAGGAGACCGUGAAGAAACUUCACCAGGAACUGGAUGACAUGCAAAAGGAACACGAGGCUGUACUACAGAAACAAAAGGAAAAGUUUGAAGAAAUGGUUUGGAAAGUGAAUAAAAUAAAUGGAAAAACAAGAAAAUUACAGAAAUCAAAGAACGUCACAGAAAUGCAGAGUUUUGUACCAGUGAUUCAGAAACAGGAGAGUUUAAGUGAGGUCUCCCAGUAUUCGUUUCCGAUAUUAUAUGAAUAUAAAAUAGAUGAAUAUUUGGAAAAUAAGUUAAAAGAAAAUGAGUUAUCGGGUAGAAUUAUAUCAGAGAUACCAACAGUUACUUCUGUUAUAGACACUGGGUUCCCUGCUGAUGCAAAGAAUAAAAAUCGUCUGUGUGACAUGGCCGUUACCGACGAUAACAAAGUGUGGAUGGGAGGAGCUAUUAAAGAACUGAAGUUGUUUGAUCUCCAGGGACACCUCCACCACACCAUCAGGAUUACUACCAACGGCUGGUACUUAUGUAUGUACAACAAACAAGUAGUGUACAAUGAUGGAAUAGAUAACACCGUGAGAAUGAUAUCUGACACCGACACUGUGGUGACGAUGUUCACUACCGGGGACUGGGAUCCAUACGGCGUCACAAGCGCGGCGUCCGGUGAUCUACUGGUCUGUCUCCUUACAGACGAUCAGUCCAAAGUCGUCCGAUACAGCAGUACCGGUACCGUGCUCCAGGAAAUCCAGUACGGCUCUCAAUGUCAACCUCUGUACAAACAGGCGGUUUACAUCACUGAGAAUGUCAACGGGGACAUCAUUGUAACUGACUGGAAGAAAAACGCAGUCAUUGCUGUCGAUAGAUUAGGCAUAUUCCGGUACUCGUACUCAGGGAAGGACACUAAGUUUGACGUUUGCUCAGUUGCCACCGAUUCUGUCGGUCACGUCAUCGUUACUGACUUUAAAGGUGACAAGAUUCACAUGCUGGACAGAGACGGGCGAUUCCUGAGGUACAUCAUUCCUGAAGGAGGAAUAAAAGAUCCACGCUCCGUGUGUAUCCUUGGCCACGGUGAGAUGAUGGUUGGAGAAUGUCUGACCGGAAUCGCCAAAAGAAUAAAAUACUUAGAAGAAUGAGCUAGGAUUCAUCAAUUUUAAUCAAUGUCAAAAUGGAAAUGGGUUGGUUAUAUAUGAAAAAAUAGAGACAAAUCGUUUAAGGCUCUGAAAUAAACCAGGAUAUAAUAAACUGACUGAAGUACCUAAUGUCUGUACGCGGUAUCUCUAUUAGAUUGUAUCGUGUGAUUCAAU
rnacentral:misc_RNA from 1 species